rnacentral:rRNA from 1 species
UACGUAGGGCGCAAGCGUUUGUCCGGAAUUAUUGGGCGUAAAGAGCUCGUAGGCGGUCUGUCGCGUCCGUUGUGAAAACUCGAGGCUCAACCUCGGGCUUGCAGUGGAUACGGGCAGACUAGAGUGCGGUAGGGGGAGACUGGAAUUCCUGGUGUAGCGGUGGAAUGCGCAGAUAUCAGGAGGAACACCGAUGGCGAAGGCAGGUCUCUGGGCCGCAACUGACGCUGAGGAGCGAAAGCAUGGGGAGCGAACAGG